rnacentral:rRNA from 1 species
GGAGUCAGACAGUGAGUGCUAAGAUCCAUUGUCAAGAGGGAAACAGCCCAGAUCAUCAGCUAAGGUCCCCAAGUGUGUGUUAAGUGGGAAAGGAUGUGGAGUUGCAAAGACAACCAGGAUGUUGGCUUAGAAGCAGCCAUCAUUUAAAGAGUGCGUAAUAGCUCACUGGUCGAGUGACUCUGCGCCGAAAAUGUAACGGGGCUAAACACACCACCGAAGCUAUGACAUGUGCCUAUAUGGUACUUUGGUAGGGGAGCGUUGAAUACGGAUUGAAGUUGGACCGUGAGGACUGGUGGACUGUAUUCAAGUGAGAAUGCCGGUAUGAGUAACGAAAAGACAAGUGAGAAUCUUGUCCGCCGAAAGCCUAAKGGUUCCUGAGGAAGGCUCGUCCUCUCAKGGUAAGUCGGGACCUAACGCGAGGCCGAAAGGCGUAGUGGAUGGACAACAGGUUGAAAUUCCUGUACCACCGUAAACMGUUAUGAGCAAUGGGGUGACACAGAAGGGCAGUGACGCGGGCUGAUGGAAUAGCCCGUCCAAGCAGUGAGGCUGAUCGAUAGGCAAAUCCGUCGAUCAUUAAGGCUGGGCUGUGAUGGGGAGCGAAAAUUGUAGUAGCGAAGGUCAUGUACUCCGGCUGUCAAGAAAAGCCUCUAGCCAGGUGAAGGUGCCCGUACMGCAAACCKACACAGGUAGGCGAGCAGAGCAUGCUAAGGCGCGCGGAAGAACUCUCGUUAAGGAACUCGGCAAAAUGACCCCGUAACUUCGGGAGAAGGGGUGCCUCGGUAKGGUUAAUAGCCCGAGGGGGCCGCAGUGAAAAGGCCCAAGCGACUGUUUAGCAAAAACACAGGUCUGUGCGAAGCCGUAAGGCGAAGUAUACGGGCUGACGCCUGCCCGGUGCUGGAAGGUUAAGGGGAGCGGUUAGGGGUUAAACCCGAAGCUGUGAACCGAAGCCCCAGUAAACGGCGGCCGUAACUAUAACGGUCCUAAGGUAGCGAAAUUCCUUGUCAGGUAAAUUCUGACCCGCACGAAUGGCGUAACGACUUGGGCGCUGUCUCAACGAGAGAUCCGGUGAAAUUUUAAUACCUGUGAAGAUGCAGGUUACCCGCGACAAGACGGAAAGACCCCAUGGAGCUUUACUGUAACUUGAUAUUGAACUUUGGUACGAUCUGUACAGGAUAGGUKGGAGCCUUWGAAGCAUGAGCGCCAGCUUGUGUGGAGGCAACGUUGGGAUACCACCCUGAUCGUAUCGGAGUUCUAACCUAGAACCGUGAAACCGGUUCGGGGACCGUGUCAGGUGGACAGUUUGACUGGGGCGGUCGCCUCCUAAAAUGUAACGGAGGCGCC